UACGUAGGGUGCGAGCGUUGUCCGGAUUUAUUGGGCGUAAAGAGCGUGUAGGCGGCUUGGUAGGUCCGCUGUGAAAACUCGAGGCUCAACCUCGAGAUGUCGGCGGAAACCACUUGGCUAGAGUCCGGAAGAGGAGAGUGGAAUUCCCGGUGUAGCGGUGAAAUGCGCAGAUAUCGGGAAGAACGCCAAGGGCGAAGGCACUCUGCUAGGCCUGAUUUCGCGACUGACACUCAGGGACGAGAGCCAGGGGAGCGAAUGGG
rnacentral:rRNA from 1 species